GAUGAAGAACGUAGCGAAAUGCGAUAAGUAAUGUGAAUUGCAGAAUUCAGUGAAUCAUCGAAUCUUUGAACGCACAUUGCGCCCCCUGGAAUUCCGGGGGGCAUGCCUGUUCGAGCGUCAUUUCAACCAUCAAGCCCCCAGGGGCUUGUGCUGGGGCCCUGCGGCUGCCCGCAGGCCCUGAAAACCAGUGGCGGGCUCGCUAGUCACACCGAGCGCAGUAGCACAUCUCGCUCAGGGCGUGCGGCGGGCUCCUGCCGUGAAACCCCCCACUGUAACCCCAAAGGUUGACCUCGGAUCAGGUAGGAAUACCCGCUGAACUUAAGCAUAUCAAUAAGCGGAGGA
rnacentral:misc_RNA from 1 species